rnacentral:rRNA from 1 species
GAUGAGCGCUGGCGGCGUGCCUAAUACAUGCAAGUAGAACGCUGAASCUUGGUGCUUGCACCGAGCGGAUGAGUUGCGAACGGGUGAGUAACGCGUAGGUAACCUGCCUCUUAGCGGGGGAUAACUAUUGGAAACGAUAGCUAAUACCGCAUAAAAGUCGAUAUCGCAUGAUAUUGAUUUGAAAGGUGCAAUCGCAUCACUAAGAGAUGGACCUGCGUUGUAUUAGCUAGUUGGUGAGGUAACGGCUCACCAAGGCGACGAUACAUAGCCGACCUGAGAGGGUGAUCGGCCACACUGGGACUGAGACACGGCCCAGACUCCUACGGGAGGCAGCAGUAGGGAAUCUUCGGCAAUGGGGGCAACCCUGACCGAGCAACGCCGCGUGAGUGAAGAAGGUUUUCGGAUCGUAAAGCUCUGUUGUAAGANAAGAACGAGUGUGAGAGUGGAAAGUUCACACUGUGACGGUAACUUACCAGAAAGGGACGGCUAACUACGUGC